rnacentral:rRNA from 1 species
UACGAGGGGGGCAAGCGUUGUUCGGAAUUAUUGGGCGUAAAGGGUGCGUAGGCGGUUUUGUAAGUCUUGUGUGAAAUCUUCAGGCUCAACUUGAAGACUGCACGAGAAACUGCAGGGCUUGAGUGUGGGAGAGGUGAGUGGAAUUCCUGGUGUAGCGGUGAAAUGCGUAGAUAUCUGGAGGAACACCGGUGGCGAAGGCGGCAUCCUGGACCGGCAUUGACGCUGAGUGAGCGAAAGCCAGGGGAGCAAACGGG